AGGGGAUUGUGGGUCUCAGCCGGGCCCUGGAGCUCUGCCUUGCCUGGGUGUCCUAUUUUGUCUGUGUCUGUGCAUGCAGUUUUUUCAGAUUACCAGUAUAUAUGGCCUUCUUUUUUUAAUAUAUGUCUGCCACAGUUUUCAAAUUAGCUUUCAUCUGAGCAUUGUGAUGAUUCUCUGAACAGCCUCACCUAAUGUCCCCCGAUAUUGAAACUAGACAAGUCUCUCCCAAGAUUGCUGCUUCCAUGUUGUUCUAGUCCAUUCCUGUCACUCAUGUUACUACAUCCAGCUCUGCAUAUCCCAAAUCUUGCCCUUUUCCUGGACUCCCUGCAACUCCUCCUUGUCCCACUGUACACCUGGUAGGACUCUGAUUCGUACAGAUUUCCUCUAUCUUCACAUUAUAAUGUUACCCACAUAACCCUGGCUCUCUUCUCUAAUGCCCAGAGCCUCUCACUUGGACUAAGGACUAAGAAGCUUUCAACAAGUCCCAGGCCCCCACCUCCACAUUCAGAGCAUUCUGGAUUGCCUGGUGGAUGCUAGUUCACAGCACCCACACCCAUCCACCACCCACCUCUGCCCUCCUUUUUCCUCUCUCCCUUUGGCCCAGGUAGAAGCUUUCAGGUCAGUAAUACAAAGUCACAUCUCCUUAGCUCUUUAAUGUCUAGACUGUGCACCAGACCACCAUCCUGGCAACUUCUCUGUCCAGUCAAAUUGACCUAGACUUUACUUCUCAAAUGGGCUCAUAAUUCCGAUGCAUGUGAAUUCUCUGCAUGGAGCACACUGCCCAUUCAUGGCAAAGCUCCCCACGUCCCAUGCUCCUUUAAGGUGGGGUCAGUGUUAGGUUUAGGGAAGGGUUGACCCAAACGGUCAACCCUUGGCAUCUAGACCUGUGAAAGACCUUAGCCUUGGGGAGGAUGCCUGCACGUGGCAGCCAAGAGAGGUCUGCUGUCGGCAUGGCAGUCAUUGUGGGGAGCUCUUUUCUCCCUGCUGGACUCCGCAAUUCCUUAGUACAUUGCCAUGAACAGCUCAUAGGAGAGAGCUGUGAUGACUGACCGAGAAUAGGAAAAGGAGAGAUUAUUGUGGCGGGCAGAAUGAGGAAAGCAGUUGAUCAGAAGACAAUUGAGGCUGAGAACUCUUUCAAGUGUGAACUGAAGUGGGAUGUUUACUCCUUGAAUUUGUUUCCCCCUUUUUAGAGUAUUGUACCAGCCACUGCUUGGUAGUUCAUUGGAGCUAAUUAAGUCCAGGCUUCUGGCAUUAUAUGUAUGUGUAUAUAUAUGUGUGUGUGUGUAUGUAUAUAUAUAUACAUACAUGAAGUAUAUAUAAGCACAUAUAUAUAUAUAUAUACUUUGUAAGUGUUAAAUCAUUCAGGGAAAGAGGAAAUUCAUUAUAUUUACUGUGUCUUUGCAGAUAAAUAUAAAGACAUGAACUGGGAAAUCCAAUCCUAUUUUGAUUUCUUUUCUUUGCUGUGUGGGUGGAGUAUAUGGGCCCUGUUUCAUUGCCCAGGCUGAACCCAUCUGUGCACAAAACCAGGCCCCAUCUUGGGGUUACCAUUGGGACUGGCCAACUUAACGAACUAAGCUUGGCUCAUGGCAAGGACAGCCUCUACGUGGUCAUUCUGUGACUGUCCACGUCUUUCAGAAAUAGCAUGCUGCCCACUGUGCAGAAACUGACUACGUUUAAUUGUCAGCCCCCAAAGGCAUGAGAUGGAAAUGCUCCCACAUACGUAUACUUUCACUGCAGAGCUGGUCACACUGUCAGCUGAGUCCAUUUCCGGAAAGUUCUGUUCAUUGAACAGUAUACUUAGCAUCAAGACUUUUUAGAGAGCAAUGAAAUAAAAACAAAAAGAAGGUUUUUGUGCUCUAAGUAAGGAAACAUUCAUUUUUGCCAGGACCAAAUGUGUAAAAAGAAUAAAUUAUAUUUUAAAGGAAACGGGAAUUUCAAAAUAACACCACCAAAAAAAGGGAUUUUUUUUUUCCUACACUUUUAGUCAGGAUUCCUUCUGUCAAGAGUGGUAACCCGGUCUUGGUAAACAAUGUGCUCAGAGAAAAAAAAAAUAAAGUUUUUUUAAUUUCUGAAUUCAAAAUAAACAUC
rnacentral:lncRNA from 1 species